ACUCCAAACGUUAGGAGGCAGUAAUGGGCAUAAUUUAGCUUGGGCUGCCGCGCGCCAAGAGGAAGUGUUGUUGUGAGUGAGAAAUGGAGACCAUAAUGAAGAUGGAAAAGGAAAACUCAGUUGAGUCGCUUAAAACAGUACCGUUUAAGAGGAGACCUCGGUCGGAAAAGCUGCGAGUGAAAGCACUCGAACCUGACCAGCCGGACAUUGUUUUAAGACAACAGUCGCAAUACGGGAACAUACUUUACACUCGCUAUUUGUCACGCUGCUGGUAUGCUAAGAAGUCUUGGCUAACCGGAUGUCCUGAAGCUGGUGCUUUAUUUUGCUUCCCCUGCCUCCUGUUUCAAACGCCGAGAACUGAAAAACCAUGGAUUGACUCUGGUGUCACUGAUUUGAAGCAUUUUGCCGAAAAAGCGAAACGGCAUGAAAAAGCUACAUUGAAAACGCAGUACGACUCGGGAUGUUUGGGAGAGCAAGUAUCAGCUCAGCUUGAUGAAGAAUACACCAAGCUGUGUAUUCUCAGAGAUACACAGCGUGUUGUUGAAGAAAGUGAAUAUUCAGAAAACCCAGGCCUUUUUUAGAAGACUUCUGCGUUUUGAGAUUGAAGGGACAUCGAAGUCAUUACUAAAUGAACUGCUCGACUGUAUGCUCUUAGUUUUGAGAGAGCACAUAAUUGAAGAAAGCAGGAAUGCUGACUUUAUCUCCAUCCAGGUUGAUGAAACGAUGGGCACUGCCACUGAGGGUCUAUUGAUGUUUGUGGUCCGCUUUAUUGACAAAACCCAUGAUGUACAGGAGACGUUUUUUGAGUUCAUACUUCUCCAGAGUGCCACAUGUGAUUCAAUCUGGACAAAUUACACACAAUCCUCCCUGAUGACCAGAAAAGCAAGCUCGUUUCACAGACAUAUACGAUGGUGGAGUUGUCAUGAGAGGAGCCACAGGUGGUGUGCAGAAGACGGUGAAGGAUGUGUGUGAGUAUGCACACUAAGUCCACUGUUAUGCUGCUCAUCAAGUUGAUGUCUUAAUCUCAUCUCACUGAAAUCACACAGUUCUUCUUUGACAUAGCUGGAUUCUCUAGCUUUUUUAGGACAAUAAUUUCAACUUCUUCCUGGAACUGAUCCAUCGCAUAAUUCCCCACGUGGACUAAUUUUACAGUCAGCUCCAGAAGCAGUCCAUCGACUCAGCCUAGUCAACAAAGUCAUGCAGCAGUUCACGGAUGACGUCAGAGAUUCCCUUUCUUCUCUCUGUGAAGAAUAUGAUGGCAGCGCACAACAGCUGAAGGCCAAGAAAUGUCGCACACUGGGGCCAGGUGAACUUCAGAGGGUAGCUACAGAGGUUUGUGACAGUAUCUUGGGCCAUACAAAGGAAAGGUUUGCCUUCCCUAAGCAUCUGAUCUGUGCUACACUGCUGCACAGAAACAAAUUCAAGGAGUAGACCAACCAGUUCCCUGAAGCAGCGUUGGACACCACCAUUGUGACGUACCCACUGCUGAACAAGCGCAAGCUGAAAACUGAACUCUGUGAUGUACAACUAUAACGAGUUCAGGGACUGCUCCGAUUUUUUUGGCUCUGUUACAGUUCUUUGCAGCAAACACUCUCCAAGACACCUUUUUAGAGACUGUAACUCUUGUAAAGAUCCUCAUCACAACUCCUAUGACGACGCCUGAGUCGGAGAGAAGCUCCUCAAAGUGAGCAAGAAUCAAGAACUUCCUCAGCAGCACAAAGGCACAGGAUCGUCUUAAUGCACUGGUCAUGCUCUCUAUGGAAAAGAACCUCGUCAAAGAAAUUCCCGAUUUUAACCAUCGAGUCGUUGAGAGAUUUGCAAGUCUGGAGGUGAGAAAGGAGAAAUUUACGUACAAAAUUUAAUCUGUGUUCUGUGGUCAAACAAUGACUCUUUUUGCUUUAUAUAUUUCCUUGAUUUUCCAAAUGGCACACUAGGAAGUGUUAUGUUUCAGUUUUCAGAUUUUGACAAAUCUAUUUCUAUAAACUUACAAACUAAAAUGUAAUACAUUUGCUUCUUAAACGGGAGUAUUUUUCUUCUUUCAUUGUCAUACUGCUUAUUAUCUUAAAGAGUGUGUAGGUUUUGGACUGACAGUUUCACAAGCUGGGCUUGAGCAGAUUCUUAGGUAUGGUCAUUUUAAUGUGGAAGUUAUUCUUUUUUGUUGAAAAGCAUUAUCAGGCAAGUAUCGCUCCAAGCAAAGGAUUUAAGUAAAGCCGUGUUUCCAUCAGGGUACAGUACAGUUCAGUUUGGUACAGUAUGGUACGGACAUCUGUUGAAAAAAACGCUGCACAAGGGGGUUACAUUUUUCUGUUGCCCAAUCAGUCGUGGGUAGAGCACGUCUAGCGGCCUGUACCAUACCAUUUUACUCUGGUACUGAAAUAUGGAAUGGUAUGGGGCUGGUUAUUUUUGAUUUACUAUUCCUAAUGCAAACGCAAAAAAAAGUACAAGUACACUGGUGGUAUGCCUCCUACUGGAGGUAAAUGGUUAAAAACUAACUUUAGCCCACCACUUGAUUUGAUGCAUGUCACAUGGUGGGCUGGUGGAUAGCACUGUUGCAUCACAGCAAGAAGACUCUGGUCCAUGACCCAGUCCAACCAGCGGCCUUCCUGUGUGGAGUUUACAUGUUCUCGCCAUGUGUGCGUGGGUUUCUCCAGUUUCCUCCUGCAGUUCAGAAACAUGUGGAGGUUAAUGAGACACUCUAAAUUGACUGUAGGCGUGAAUGGUUAGGGUUAGGGAAUGGUUGUUUGUGACCUUCAAGUGGAGGAGUCGAGGGUUGAAUGUGAAAAAUUAAGGUUCAGGGUUUCUGACAUGAAGAGAUGUAUAAAAAAGACUGUUGAUUCAGAUACCCAUAACUGGGGGACCUAAAGCACCACAGGGGCUUUUUAUAUGUAAUAUGCAAAUCUCUCUACAUUUAUUUAAUUUUUGUGAAUAAAAAAACAUUGAAGAAUCUC